rnacentral:rRNA from 1 species
CCAACAGGGAUUGCCUUAGUAACGGCGAGUGAAGCGGCAACAGCUCAAAUUUGAAAUCUGGCCUAUGGUCCGAGUUGUAAUUUGCAGAGGAUGCUUCGGGCGCGGUGCCUUCCAAGUCCCCUGGAACGGGGCGCCGGAGAGGGUGAGAGCCCCGUACGGUUGGCGGCCAAGCCUGUGUGAAGCUCCUUCGACGAGUCGAGUAGUUUGGGAAUGCUGCUCUAAGCGGGAGGUAGACCCCUUCUAAAGNUAAAUACCGGCCAGAGACCGAUAGCGCACAAGUAGAGUGAUCGAAAGAUGAAAAGCACUUUGAAAAGAGGGUUAAACAGCACGUGAAAUUGUUGAAAGGGAAGCGCUUGUGACCAGACGUGCGCCGGGGUGUUCAGCGGGCGUUUUCGCCCGUGCACUCGCCCCGGUGCAGGCCAGCGUCGGUUUGGGUGGGGGGAUAAAGGCGUCUGGAAUGUGGCUCCUCCGGGAGUGUUAUAGCCAGACGUGCCAUGCCUCCGCCUGGACCGAGGUACGCGUUCUGCAAGGACGCUGGCGUAAUGGUCUCCAGCGACCCGUCUUGAAACACGGACCAAGGAGUCGAGGUUUUGCGCGAGUGUUUGGGUGGAAAACCCGCACGCGUAAUGAAAGUGAACGUAGGUGAGAGCUUCGGCGCAUCACCGACCGAUCCUGAUGUUUUCGGAUGGAUUUGAGUAAGAGCGUAGGGCCUCGGACCCGAAAGAUGGUGAACUAUGCUUGGAUAGGGUGAAGCCAGAGGAAACUCUGGUGGAGGCUCGCAGCGGUUCUGACGUGCAAAUCGAUCGUCAAAUCUGAGCAUGGGGGCGAAAGACUAAUCGCACCAU